AGCAGACCAGGCCUGGGGUGCGGGGCCAGGCUGCCUGACUAUUUAUCUCAUUUUUGCCUUCUUUAACUUAUUUCUUCCUUCUUUUUCUGAGGUAUGAAACAAUAAGAGAGGUGGUCUCCUUCCUCAUUCCCCCCCUUUGAGAAUCUCACUUAUUAGUGGGAGUUCUCAACAAGGCCCCUUCAUCCUUGCCUGAAACCUCUGGCUCAGAGCCAUUUUGUUUCUCUUUUAACUAGGGGCACUUGUCUUUCCAAUGCGCUGUUUCUUUACAGUAUGCACACUGGUUAUGCUGCAGGCAUGGUUGGUCAGACUGAGUGUUUUUCCCAGGGUCCCCCCUUCCUCGGCCCUUCGGGGGAACUCCUCUAAUAGCUGCAGCUAGCAGAUAGGUGUUUUGCCGGGCUUGGCACUUGCUUUCUUUGCGGCUCUCUCUACGGCCUGCCACAUCUCUACUCACAAACAUCUGACUGGCUAUUUUUAAUAACUGUGAAGUAUUCAUACUCACAAACCCAGCCUGUUUCUGAAGCUUUCUUCUAAUAUCUUUGGUGCUUUGACUAACUAAAGCCAUGUUAAUCAUGCGCUGAUUUUCAGGGCUAUUCACAUAGUCCCUUGUAAAAUUGUGCUGGACUCUCUUCUUUUCCUUGAAUGACCUCAGAGACUUUGUUAACAUCUGUGGCCUUCUGAGCUCCCUUUUUUAACCCUUCCAGGAGGGCCUCUCUAUACUGUUUUAGUCUCUCCAUGUCUGGCCCUUCAUUUGGGUCCCACUGGGGGUCUGUUCCUGGUAAUUGGACUCUCACAUACUCCUGGGGGUUUUGGUAACUGGCCAGAGCAUGUUCCUCUAGCCACUUAGUUGCUGCCUGGAGCACCCUUCGCUUUUCAUCUGUGUUAAAGAGGUACAUGAGCAGCUGGUGGCCAUCAGCCCAAGUAGGGUUAUGAAUCUGGAUAAUAGUUUGGAGCAAAUCAACUAAUGCUUGAGGCUUUUCACUAUAAGAUGGGGUAUUGUUCUUCCAGUUGAGGAGAUCAGCAGAGGUGAAGGGUUGAUACACAAAGGCACUCCUUUCUACCAUAUGCCCAUCCUCGUCUACCCCAGUAUAUCGCUGCUCCCUCAGGGGC
rnacentral:lncRNA from 10 species